rnacentral:rRNA from 1 species
UACGUAGGGUGCAGGCGUUAAUCGGAAUUACUGGGCGUAAAGCGUGCGCAGGCGGUUUGCUAAGACAGGUGUGAAAUCCCCGGGCUUAACCUGGGAACUGCGCUUGUUACUGGCAGGCUUGAGUGUGGCAGAGGGGGGUGGAAUUCCUGGUGUAGCGGUGAAAUGCGCAGAUAUCAGGAAGAACACCCGUGGCGAAAGCGGCUCUCUGGAACGGUACUGACGCUGAGACGCGAAAGCGUGGGGAGCGAACAGG